UAGGUCCAGUUUUUGUAGGUCCAGUUUUCCAACAACGAGCUGCUAACACGAUAAUUUAUGGAGGUUAUACUGGACCUGCCUUAGAGUGAUGCUCCCGUGUAUAUGUGGAAUGGAACUAUAAUAAAUUAAUAUGGAUCACUAACGGUGUUCGCCUCCAACUUUUAAUUGCUUCCGGAAGCGGGGGCGUAGCUUCAUUGCAUACUCUACUAACCGUAGUAGCUAAAUGACCUUUGACCAAAACAAGGGAAAGUGAUAUGAUACUGAUGUUCCUGGAUGGAUGAAAACAAUGAAGAGUUAAUCGAGUGAAUAAUACAAUCAUGAUUGAUGGAUGGACGGAUAUAUGAUUUUGGCUUAGACUGGAUACUGUGUGGCGAUGUCAGCCAUUACUUGGGUAAAUGCAGCUUGUUUCGAUUGAGGGGUUGACAGUCGCUCUCUCCACAUGAACGCUCUCUCCACAUGAACGCUCUCUCCACAUGAACUCGUCAAGGUAUGAUGGCAACUGUUGUUCUGUCACCCCCCGCAUCCUCUUCAGCUUGAUCCUAUUCCAAUAGCUCUCAAUGUUUUGUGUGUAACCCUGUGACGCUGUUCACAAACUCAAUACUGUGGUUGACGGUGCCAUGGGAUGCAACAUUUGGCAACGAUGCUACAUUAUUGUAAGCGGCCCAACAGUCAGAAUGUAUCACUGUGCAGAAUGUAUCACUAUGCCUGGUUGUACAUGUGCCUGUAUUAUAGGCAAGAGUGACUGCUCUUCUAUCUGCCACUAACUGGACAAAGCCAGUGGCAGGGGUUGUUGACGUGUCAGCCAACCCAAACACCCACAAGUCACUCCUGGGUCGCCUACCCCGUCCACCCUAUUGUGUUUAAACGAGCAUGCUGACUAUAAAAGGGCGUGCCGUGGGCAGCUCCGACCGGAAGCAACCAAAAAAUGACAAAAUGGCAACAAUGAAUAUUCUUGAGUCUUGCAAAAAGACGCCCUUGACAGUUAUAAUGCACAUUCUUUACAUUUUUACAUUCUUCUUUUGAUACGCCUUCUUCCGCUCUCUCACAAGAUAGUAGACACAAACUAAAAACAAAAAAUGGCUGUCAAAAGUUUAUUUCAAGAAGCAUGCGCAUGAAGAAGUCUGUUCUCAACCUCCUACUGGGGGUUCCACAGGAGCUAAAGUUCGAGACUGAAGAUACCAAGCAAGUCUUUGUAGGUUUAAUUGACAGUGCUAAGCGUUGUCUUGCUGCCAGACAUUUAUUGGCCCAGCAUGAGGAUCUGACAAACUGAUGCUGAUGUGGACAUAAAUAACUCAAGUCGCGUUGAAGACGCUUUGAAGGACUGCGACUGCCUUUGCUUGUUGACAGUCUCCCUGGGUACACCAUCAACCUAUGUAGAAAAUAAUCGAACUUUCGAUGAAUUUCCACGAUGAAUUUCCACAAUGGCAUAUUUUCAAUGCUCAAGAAAGCAAGCUUCCUAACUCUUCCACAACGUUCCCUGGAGUACGCUCACUGUAGCUGACCUGGAGCUCCUUUAUUGUGCAUAGCCUUUUGCUGUAUCUAUUCAUAAAGUAUUUUGUCAGCCAUUAUGAUAAUCAUUUUAUUUUUUUGUUUUUUUGUUUCUGCUUCUGGUAAAAAAGAAAAACUACCAAGAAUGUAUUUCCCUUCCCUUUGUGUAUAUUUUUUAGUG